GAUGAACGCUGGCGGCGUGCCUAACACAUGCAAGUCGAGCGAUUUACUUCGGUAAAGAGCGGCGGACGGGUGAGUAACGCGUGGGUAACCUGCCUCAUACACAUGGAUAACAUACCGAAAGGUAUGCUAAUACAAGAUGAUAUAAGAGAUUCGCAUGGAUUUCUUAUCAAAGCUCCGGCGGUAUGAGAUUGACCUGCGUCUGAUUAGCUAGUUGGUAAGGUAACGGCUUACCAAGGCGACGAUCAGUAGCCGACCUGAGAGGGUGAUCGGCCACAUUGGAACUGAGACACGGUCCAAACUCCUACGGGAGGCAGCAGUGGGGAAUAUUGCACAAUGGGCGAAAGCCUGAUGCAGCAACGCCGCGUGAGCGAUGAAGGCCUUCGGGUCGUAAAGCUCUGUCCUCAAGGAAGAUAAUGACGGUACUUGAGGAGGAAGCCCCGGCUAACUACGUGCCAGCAGCCGCGGUAAUACGUAGGGGGCUAGCGUUAUCCGGAUUUACUGGGCGUAAAGGGUGCGUAGGUGGUUUCUUAAGUCAGGAGUGAAAGGCUACGGCUCAACCGUAGUAAGCUCUUGAAACUGGGAAACUUGAGUGCAGGAGAGGAAAGUGGAAUUCCUAGUGUAGCGG
rnacentral:rRNA from 1 species